rnacentral:snoRNA from 1 species
GUGGCUCCUCGAGGCGUUGCAGCGCAGCUGAAUGUGCUGUGUCUGUGUCAUGAGGAAGCAAAGAGCAGCAGGGCGCUAGAAACUACACUUUGUACCCAUAAAUUUCACAGUGCAAAGAAUGAAUGACAGCCCCUACAAA